GUGAGGUCGAUCUGCGACAUCAGUCUCCCCAUUGAUCGCAAGGGUUGAUUUGACUGAUUUGGCUGGCUAGGCCGCUCCAUGUGCAUCCUCGGUGGAAGAGGACGACCAUCCCAGAUAAAAGGAGUGUACCGUUCUUGGGUCAAGGGUGUACGAUAGCUGCGCUCCCCUGCCAGAACCUCCAAACAAGCUCGAGAACUUGCUUGCAUUAAGCAAGGACGAGGACGUAGCAAUUAAAAAG